rnacentral:rRNA from 1 species
CAUGGCUCAGGAUGAACGCUAGCGGCAGGCUUAAUACAUGGCAAGUCGUGGGGCAGCAUGAGUAGCAAUACUUGAUGGCGACCGGCAAACGGGUGAGGAACACGUACACAACCUUCUUCAGCGGGGAAUAGCCCAGAGAAAUUUGGAUUAUACCCAUAAUAUAUUUGAUAAGGCAUCUUAUUAAUAUUAAAGCUUCGGCACUUGAUGAUGGGUGUGCGGCUGAUUAGAUAGUUGGCGGGGUAACGGCCCACCAAGUCUACGAUCAGUAGCUGAUGUGAGAGCAUGAUCAGCCACACGGGCACUGAGACACGGGCCCGACUCCUACGGGAGGCAGCAGUAAGGAAUAUUGGACAAUGGACGAAAGUCUGAUCCAGCCAUGCCGCGUGAAGGAUUAAGGUCCUCUGGAUUGUAAACUUCUUUUAUAUGGGACGAAAAAGGGCAUUCUUGUUCACUUGACGGUACCAUAUGAAUAAGCACCGGCUAACUCCGUG